UACAGAGGUCUCAACCGUUGUUCGGAUUCAUUGGGCGUAAAGGGUGCGUAGGUGGCGCUGUAAGUCGGGUGUGAAAUCCUGAGGCUUAACCUCGGAACUGCAUUCGAUACUGCGGCGCUUGAGGACUGGAGAGGAGACUGGAAUUCAUGGUGUAGCAGUGAAAUGCGUAGAGAUCAUGAGGAAGACCAGUGGCGAAGGCGGGUCUCCUGGACAGUUCCUGAGCACUGA
rnacentral:rRNA from 1 species